rnacentral:rRNA from 3 species
GUCAUGCCAAUGGCACUGCCCGGUAGCUAAAUGCGGAAGAGAUAAGUGCUGAAAGCAUCUAAGCACGAAACUUGCCCCGAGAUGAGUUCUCCCUGAGACUUAGAGUCUCCUGAAGGAACGUUGAAGACGACGACGUUGAUAGGCCGGGUGUGUAAGCGCAGCGAUGCGUUGAGCUAACCGGUACUAAUGAACCGUGAGGCUUAACCUUACAACGCCGAAG